GAAUUUCGUCCAAAAUGGUAUAUUAUCCCGUAAAAAGAAUUUGUAGAAUUGCGCGUAGUCUAGAAAGUGAUGAUGGUACCCGCUACAGAAAUAAAAAUAAAAACAAAAAUGCACGGUAGAAUCCAGGGACAAUGCUCCUAGGAAGUAGUAGGACACAUGAAAAAAUAAAAAUAAAAAUAAAAAAAUAGAAAAAGAAAAUAUCCAUGUCAUCACGGGGUAGAUACAUAGGUGAAGAUGAUUUGGCAGCGUCAUAAGUUGCGAACUUAUAUUAGAAGAGAGGCAGCAUGUGUUGGGUUGAUGUGGACGUGUGUCACUCACUCACCCACGUAGGACCGACCAGACCAUUUUCCAUACUUUCACGUGAUGUUUCUCGAUCCAACCAAAUGUUGCUCACUCUACUCACCAGUCAAUCCCUAAAUAUCCUCAUCAUGGCGACAUCCUUACCCUCUUCCAUUUAUCAUCUUCAUCCCAAC
rnacentral:lncRNA from 1 species